UACGGAGGGGGCUAGCGUUGUUCGGAAUUACUGGGCGUAAAGCGCACGUAGGCGGCUUUGUAAGUUAGAGGUGAAAGCCCGGGGCUCAACUCCGGAAUUGCCUUUAAGACUGCAUCGCUAGAAUCCGGGAGAGGUGAGUGGAAUUCCGAGUGUAGAGGUGAAAUUCGUAGAUAUUCGGAAGAACACCAGUGGCGAAGGCGGCUCACUGGACCGGUAUUGACGCUGAGGUGCGAAAGCGUGGGGAGCAAACAGG
rnacentral:rRNA from 1 species